CCGGCUCAGGGGGCCCCGGCUGCUGCUGCAUCCCCCCCCCCCACAGCCCCGCCGCCUCCCCGCCCCCGCUCAGCCCCUGCUGCCACCGCCCGGCCCCGCCGCCGCCUCCAUUUCCUCUCGCCGCGGGCAGGCCUCGGCCUCGGCCGCGCCCCCAGCCCCGCCGCCGGGAAGGAGAGGAAGACUGGCAUGGUGAGCUAUGCCGAAGGCUGACCAAGGAAGCCCAAGGACUCUGUCAUCGGUACGGAUGCUGUGGCCAACCUAUGGAGAACAAGCUAAUGCAAACCCAUUAACAACCGUGUGUUCAGUGCUACGCCGAUGGCUGCAAGCCACCAGUGAAUCAGCAGAAACUUAGCUCUCACUAGGAACCAGUGGCCAAAAACCAGAAAUCAGGAACCCAAGCUCUCUGCCUGACUCUGUACCAGCACACUGGGACACCGCAACCUUGUGCCUCCCUUCCUCUGCUGGUGAAGUAGCAACGGUGACAGUGAGAGUUACCUCAUUGGCAAAGCACAGUGGAAAUCCGUGGCUGUUGGCAGUUUGAAUAUUGCACAGGCUAGACAGUUGCUUCUUCAUGCUUCAGAGUGGUGACUACAAUUGCGGCCACGCACAGAUUUAUUAAUAAACAGUCUCCAGCUGUGGAACCAAUUCCUUCCAGAUUAUCAGGCUCAGCCCAAGUAUUUUAACCUUUCAAGUAUGUAGUUACUGACAUGUAUAAUAAUUAAUCCAGGAUAAAAGGCACCAAUUUUCCAAACUAAGUACAGUUAAUAAGCUUUGUUGUCAGUAAUUGGGCCUGAAAGUGUCUGAUGAAGUUGAAGAAUGUGUUGCAUAGGCAACUGUACAGUUGGAUUAUACAGUUGCUAGAUCAGGCCAACAGGAUUCUCGCUACCAAUAAUGCUAAACUGUAGUGGGAUUUCGUGCUUUAAAUAGGCAGCAAAAUCAAUGUUUGAGUCUGGGUUCUUUUUAAUAUGAGAUAAUUUUUACACUGCCAGAGCCAUAUAAAGCACAACUGUGCUGGUGAAAAGUCACCCUCUUCUAUCUGGGAUGUUCUAGAGUGACUGCGGCUUCCUCAGAGAUACGUUGCUGAAACCAAUGGAUGUGAUGCACCCAUUUUUCUUUAAGGACCUGGGCCUAAACUGGAAAAUUUCAUCUUAAUAACACAUUCAAUGUUUAUGCCAUUAAAGGAGUUUUUUAUGUCCUAGUAA